rnacentral:rRNA from 1 species
AACGAACGCUGGCGGCAGGCCUAACACAUGCAAGUCGAACGCCGUAGCGAUACGGAGUGGCAGACGGGUGAGUAACGCGUGGGAACAUACCCCUCGGUUCGGAAUAACUCAGGGAAACUUGAGCUAAUACCGGAUACGUCCAAGGUUUUAAUCGACCUUGGAGAAAGAUUUAUCGCCGGAGGAUUGGCCCGCGUCUGAUUAGCUUGUUGGUGAGGUAAUGGCUCACCAAGGCGACGACAGUAGCUGGUCUGAGAGGAUGAUCAGCCACAUUGGGACUGAGACACGGCCCAAACUCCUACGGGA